AAUAAGUACAUUUUUACAUUAUUCACGUUCAACAUUUGACCAUUCGUCUUAUUUGAAUUUUUUUAUGAUUAGUAUUUUUAUUGCUAAAUAUUUUUAAAUUUUUUACAAUUUUUUUAAAUAAGACGGACGGUCAAAUAUUAGACAUGAAUAUCUACGGCUGUACUUAUU
rnacentral:pre_miRNA from 1 species